UGUUACUUAUCUACAUCCAGCAGUUACAACAUUAUCAUUAAUUUGGAGUCUUGCUUCUGGCCACCUGAUAAAGCCUGUUUGGCCUCCUAACAUGGUUGACGGGGCAUAAGGAGGAGGAAGGGCAUCUGACUGGGCGCUGUUGCAGUCCAUCGACUGUUUUCUUCAGAGGGAAAGGUCAGAGGAUACAGUACGGUGGGACACCUGCUGAAGUGACUUCAUGCAAAUAAGUCUCCUGUCCUGCAGAGGAGAAAAGGUGGGAAACCAAAUUGGAUCGAAUGUAAUUCAGUUCACCAAGCAGGGAAUGAAUCGAUAAUGCUGAGGAAUGGCUUUCGAAGGACUGAGUGCCCACCUUAGAGAAUUCCUGCCACUAUCAAGUGAGUGGAUACCCCAGCAAAGCAACUGCUGGAAUGCCUACAGUAUGAGAGAUUAGGUAGAAGAAGGAUAAACAGAAAAAGCAUGGAGCACCCAAGGCUUUAUCAUGGGUUUGGUGUUGUGUGUAAAUACCUAAAGGACUUUA